GAAACGGGUUAAUAUUCCCGUACUUGGUGUUACUGCGAAGGGGGGACGGAGAAGGCUAUGUUGGCCGGGCGACGGUUGUCCCGGUUUAAGCGUGUAGGUGUGUGUUCCAGGUAAAUCCGGUUCACUUUAACACUGAGGCGUGAUGACGAGGCACUACGGUGCUGAAGCAACAAAUGCCCUGCUUCCAGGAAAAGCCUCUAAGCAUCAGGUAACAUCAAAUCGUACCCCAAACCGACACAGGU
rnacentral:rRNA from 1 species